rnacentral:lncRNA from 1 species
AAAACGCCAUGGAAGGUCUGAAAGCUGCUGGUUUUUCAUACUUUGACAUAUGUGAGUUCAAUUCUUGCCCUUUUCUUUGAGAUUUUUAUGUUUUUGUGACUUUUACAAUUAAGUCCAAGUGUUUAAUUCAUUAGUUUUUUAUUUUAUGGACAAAAUUAAAAGUUAUCAUUGACAAGUGUUGGCUGUUUAUGAUGAAUUAAAAUGAAUUUGAAGCUUUGAUUUUAUUGUUUGAUGAUUUUAUCAAGUAAUUUCAAUAGAAAUUGAUUUUAGGACCUAAUUAUGAGAAAGUUGUGAUUAAGGUUUAGUGUUAAAAUUCUAAUUUUCAAAGGUUGUGUAAUAGUUUAGAAUGAUGGAAUAAAAUUUUCAUUGAGAAAAAUUAGCUUAUUAGAUGAGCUAAUUGAGCAAGGACUGAAUUGUAUGACUUGUGAAAUUUAGAGGAAAAAUGGUAAUAAACAUCUUGAACUAAAACAGUUUUGGACAGCAGCAGUAGGCUAAUUUUGCAAAAUCACCAUAAAUUGUAAAAAUCGAAUUAGAGGAUGAAUAAUAUAUGAAAUUAAAGCUUAUUGAGUCUAAUUUCUCAUAGAAGAAACGGUGUAAGCAAUUGAAUUGUAAAUUAUGUGCUAUAAUGAGUUUUGUGAGAUAAGGUCAGAAUAAAUUCGGAUUCCCCUGUUUUAAAUUUAUAAAAUCACCAAAAAUUGGAGAAAAUUAAUUAGAGGCUCAAAUUUAUAUGCUUAGAAUCUUUAAUGAGUCUAUUUUCAAUAGAAAUCAACGGGAACAUUAUCCGAGUUCUGUACUGUGAUAUAAUUAAUUUUUAGUGAAGAGAGAUCAGAACUGUUGGAUAGUGAAACAGGGGAAACUUAAAUGAAUAAACUGUACUAAUUGGCUAAAUCAAAAAUUAUGAAAUUUUUAUGGUAAGAAGACAUAUGAGUCUAGUUUCUGGGAAAAUUUAUGGAUCUUAAUUUGGAAUUCUGUAGCUCAAGAUAAAAAUAAUUUAGUAACUAUAACACAGAUGGACAGCGUGAAUAUUCACAUAAGUAGAUAGUGAAAA